rnacentral:rRNA from 1 species
GACAGCAGUCGCCACGGGAAUACAGAGGGUGCAAGCGUUAAUCGGAAUUACUGGGCGUAAAGCGCGCGUAGGUGGUUUGUUAAGUUGGAUGUGAAAUCCCCGGGCUCAACCUGGGAACUGCAUCCAAAACUGGCAAGCUAGAGUAUGGUAGAGGGUGGUGGAAUUUCCUGUGUAGCGGUGAAAUGCGUAGAUAUAGGAAGGAACACCAGUGGCGAAGGCGACCACCUGGACUGAUACUGACACUGAGGUGCGAAAGCGUGGGGAGCAAACAGGAUUAGAUACCCGAGUAGUCCCUGUCUCUUAUAC